ACACUGAUGGUGAAACGGUAUCAUGCUUGCCUUCCACUCAUGUGUGAGCAAGCGGCGCGGGUUCGACUCCCGCUCAGUGUA